rnacentral:snRNA from 9 species
UCUCCAGCCUGGCAGAGGAGACGCCACAAUUAGGAUAGUGGUUCUCCCAGGAUUAGACUCAUUCCUUGCACUUUGUGCCUACAAUUUGCUCAAAUGCAGGAAAGUCAACUGCAUAAUUUGUGUUAGUGGUAUGUGAUCAUACUGUCUUCUA